rnacentral:rRNA from 1 species
GGGCCUGCGGCGGAUUAGGUAGUUGGUGGGGUAACGGCCUACCAAGCCGAUGAUCCGUAGGGGGCGUGAGAGCGUGACCCCCCACACUGGCACUGAGACACGGGCCAGACUCCUACGGGAGGCAGCAGUGAGGAAUAUUGCACAAUGGGCGAAAGCCUGAUGCAGCAACGCCGCGUGAGGGACGAAGGCCUUCGGGUCGUAAACCUCUUUUCUGGGGGACGGGACGGUACCUCAGGAAUAAGACUCGGCUAACUACGUGCCAGCAGCCGCGGUAAAACGUAGGAGGCGAGCGUUAUCCGGAUUUACUGGGCGUAAAGCGCGCGCAGGCGGCUUCGUAAGUCGGACGUGAAAGCUCCUGGCUUAACUGGGAGAUGUCGUUCGAUACUGCGGGGCUUGAGGUUGGGAGAGGGGUGUGGAAUUCCCGGUGUAGUGGUGGAAUGCGUAGAU